GUCCUAGCCGUAAACGAUGGGCACUAGGUGUGGGAGGUAUCGACCCCUUCCGUGCCGCAGCUAACGCACUAAGUGCCCCGCCUGGGGAGUACGGCCGCAAGGUUGAAACUCAAAGGAAUUGACGGGGGCCCGCACAAGCGGUGGAGCAUGUGGUUUAAUUCGACGCAACGCGAAGAACCUUACCAGGGCUUGACAUCCCGCGAAUCUCAUCGAAAGAUGAGAGUGCCCGCAAGGGAGCGCGGAGACAGGUGGUGCAUGGCUGUCGU
rnacentral:rRNA from 1 species